GCGCUUAGAUGAUAAUUCGCAACUCGCGCUACUACUACACUACGAAUCUAGGGGUCAGGAGUUCGAAUCUCUUCGGGCGCGCCA
rnacentral:tRNA from 1 species